GGGUUGUGAGGUUAAGCGACUAAGCGUACACGGUGGAUGCCCUGGCAGUCAGAGGCGAUGAAGGGCGUGCUAAUCUGCGAUAAGCGCCGGUAAGGUGAUAUGAACCGUUAUAACCGGCGAUACCCGAAUGGGGAAACCCAGUGUGAUUCGUCACACUAUCAUUAACUGAAUCCAUAGGUUAAUGAGGCGAACCGGGGGAACUGAAACAUCUAAGUACCCCGAGGAAAAGAAAUCAACCGAGAUUCCCCCAGUAGCGGCGAGCGAACGGGGAGGAGCCCAGAGCCUGAAUCAGCAUGUGUGUUAGUGGAAGCGUCUGGAAAGGCGCGCGAUACAGGGUGACAGCCCCGUACACAAAAGCGCAUGUGCUGUGAGCUCGAUGAGUAGGGCGGGACACGUGGUAUCCUGUCUGAAUAUGGGGGGACCAUCCUCCAAGGCUAAAUACUCCUGACUGACCGAUAGUGAACCAGUACCGUGAGGGAAAGGCGAAAAGAACCCCGGCGAGGGGAGUGAAAAAGAACCUGAAACCGUGUACGUACAAGCAGUGGGAGCACAGGUUUACCUGUGUGACUGCGUACCUUUUGUAUAAUGGGUCAGCGACUUAUAUUCUGUAGCAAGGUUAACCGAAUAGGGGAGCCGGAGGGAAACCGAGUCUUAAUUGGGCGUUAAGUUGCAGGGUAUAGACCCGAAACCCGGUGAUCUAGCCAUGGGCAGGUUGAAGGUUGGGUAACACUAACUGGAGGACCGAACCGACUAAUGUUGAAAAAUUAGCGGAUGACCUGUGGCUGGGGGUGAAAGGCCAAUCAAACCGGGAGAUAGCUGGUUCUCCCCGAAAGCUAUUUAGGUAGCGCCUCGUGAAUUCAUCUCCGGGGGUAGAGCACUGUUUCGGCUAGGGGGCCAUCCCGGCUUACCAACCCGAUGCAAACUGCGAAUACCGGAGAAUGUUAUCACGGGAGACACACGGCGGGUGCUAACGUCCGUCGUGAAGAGGGAAACAACCCAGACCGCCAGCUAAGGUCCCAAAGUCAUGGUUAAGUGGGAAACGAUGUGGGAAGGCCCAGACAGCCAGGAUGUUGGCUUAGAAGCAGCCAUCAUUUAAAGAAAGCGUAAUAGCUCACUGGUCGAGUCGGCCUGCGCGGAAGAUGUAACGGGGCUAAACCAUGCACCGAAGCUGCGGCAGCGACGCUUAUGCGUUGUUGGGUAGGGGAGCGUUCUGUAAGCCUGUGAAGGUGUGUCGUGAGGCAUGCUGGAGGUAUCAGAAGUGCGAAUGCUGACAUAAGUAACGAUAAAGCGGGUGAAAAGCCCGCUCGCCGGAAGACCAAGGGUUCCUGUCCAACGUUAAUCGGGGCAGGGUGAGUCGACCCCUAAGGCGAGGCCGAAAGGCGUAGUCGAUGGGAAACGGGUUAAUAUUCCCGUACUUGGUGUUACUGCGAAGGGGGGACGGAGAAGGCUAUGUUGGCCGGGCGACGGUUGUCCCGGUUUAAGCGUGUAGGUGUGUGUUCCAGGUAAAUCCGGUUCACUUUAACACUGAGGCGUGAUGACGAGGCACUACGGUGCUGAAGUAACAAAUGCCCUGCUUCCAGGAAAAGCCUCUAAGCAUCAGGUAACAUCAAAUCGUACCCCAAACCGACACAGGUGGUCAGGUAGAGAAUACCAAGGCGCUUGAGAGAACUCGGGUGAAGGAACUAGGCAAAAUGGUGCCGUAACUUCGGGAGAAGGCACGCUGACACGUAGGUGAAGUGAUUUACUCAUGGAGCUGAAGUCAGUCGAAGAUACCAGCUGGCUGCAACUGUUUAUUAAAAACACAGCACUGUGCAAACACGAAAGUGGACGUAUACGGUGUGACGCCUGCCCGGUGCCGGAAGGUUAAUUGAUGGGGUCAGCGCAAGCGAAGCUCCUGAUCGAAGCCCCGGUAAACGGCGGCCGUAACUAUAACGGUCCUAAGGUAGCGAAAUUCCUUGUCGGGUAAGUUCCGACCUGCACGAAUGGCGUAAUGAUGGCCAGGCUGUCUCCACCCGAGACUCAGUGAAAUUGAACUCGCUGUGAAGAUGCAGUGUACCCGCGGCAAGACGGAAAGACCCCGUGAACCUUUACUAUAGCUUGACACUGAACAUUGAGCCUUGAUGUGUAGGAUAGGUGGGAGGCUUUGAAGUGUGGACGCCAGUCUGCAUGGAGCCGACCUUGAAAUACCACCCUUUAAUGUUUGAUGUUCUAACGUGGACCCGUGAUCCGGGUUGCGGACAGUGUCUGGUGGGUAGUUUGACUGGGGCGGUCUCCUCCUAAAGAGUAACGGAGGAGCACGAAGGUUGGCUAAUCCUGGUCGGACAUCAGGAGGUUAGUGCAAUGGCAUAAGCCAGCUUGACUGCGAGCGUGACGGCGCGAGCAGGUGCGAAAGCAGGUCAUAGUGAUCCGGUGGUUCUGAAUGGAAGGGCCAUCGCUCAACGGAUAAAAGGUACUCCGGGGAUAACAGGCUGAUACCGCCCAAGAGUUCAUAUCGACGGCGGUGUUUGGCACCUCGAUGUCGGCUCAUCACAUCCUGGGGCUGAAGUAGGUCCCAAGGGUAUGGCUGUUCGCCAUUUAAAGUGGUACGCGAGCUGGGUUUAGAACGUCGUGAGACAGUUCGGUCCCUAUCUGCCGUGGGCGCUGGAGAACUGAGGGGGGCUGCUCCUAGUACGAGAGGACCGGAGUGGACGCAUCACUGGUGUUCGGGUUGUCAUGCCAAUGGCACUGCCCGGUAGCUAAAUGCGGAAGAGAUAAGUGCUGAAAGCAUCUAAGCACGAAACUUGCCCCGAGAUGAGUUCUCCCUGAGACUUAAAGUCUCCUGAAGGAACGUUGAAGACGACGACGUUGAUAGGCCGGGUGUGUAAGCGCAGCGAUGCGUUGAGCUAACCGGUACUAAUGAACCGUGAGGCUUAACCUUACAACGCCGAAG
rnacentral:rRNA from 1 species